CCUACGGGUGGCAGCAGUGAGGAAUAUUGGUCAAUGGGCGCGAGCCUGAACCAGCCAAGUCGCGUGAGGGAGGACGGCCCUACGGGUUGUAAACCUCUUUUGCCGGGGAGCAACGGGCGUCACGUGUGGCGCCACUGAGUGUACCCGGAGAAAAAGCAUCGGCUAACUCCGUGCCAGCAGCCGCGGUAAUACGGAGGAUGCGAGCGUUAUCCGGAUUUAUUGGGUUUAAAGGGUGCGUAGGCGGAGCGUUAAGGCAGGGGGCAAAUUUAGGGGCUCAACCCCUUCCCGCCAUUGAAACUGGCGUUCUUGAGUGGAAGAGAGGUAUGCGGAAUGCGUGGUGUAGCGGUGAAAUGCAUAGAUAUCACGAAGAACUCCGAUUGCGAAGGCAGUUCACUGGACUGCAACUGACACUGAGGCUCGAAAGUGUGGGUAUCAAACAGGAUUAGAUACCCUUGUAGUC
rnacentral:rRNA from 1 species